rnacentral:lncRNA from 1 species
ACCUCUCAUAUAUGAAGUUUCAAUUACAGUCUACAAUAGAGUACAUUAAGUUUCCUAACUCCGAGAGGGUAAGGUAAAAAGUUCUCGCCCUGACAAUGAAAGACUUCGACUUAUAGUUGUAAAUUAAUUUUAUUUAUCUACUUCAUCUCCCUUAACUUCUACACACUUAAUUCAGUGCCUCUCUAACAUCAGUAUUAUUUCCUGGAAUGAACAAUCGGGAAGGUUGUGGAAAUAUUCAUUAAGGCCCUUCUUACUUCCGGAAAGAAACUUCUGUAGUCUUGUGAACAGAUGGAAGUCGGAGGAUGACAAAUAAGGGGGAUGUCCGAGCAAAUGUCACAGUUCUCCCAUUGACAACACUCUCUUGCCUGCAGGUCCGUUGUCCUGGUGAAGCAUGGUUGUUUCUUCUUCAAGCAAUGCCUAUUCUCCCGAAUUUUGGCAGCUAAUAAUUUUCACUUGGGUGGUUACAGUCUUGGGCCUUACUUAAGAAAGGGCAUCUUCGAGGGAUGUACAACCAACUUUAAAUUCAGCUCCCCACUUUUUAACAGUUGACAUGGAAGGAACAGAGCGUUUUUUAUCUUUUACUCCGUCAUAGAUCCUCAAGAAAAAUAUCUACUAGAUUCAAUAUUCUGAGUAUACCAUAAGUCCUUAAAUAUAUUCAUGUAGUCCAAUUCGAGUCCUCAGGAUUCUUUUGAGCUCAUUUCAUGUCCAUAAUUAAACUGAUGUAAAGUUGUCCAUAGUGCUAAGGCUUUUCUUUAAUUCAGUAUAAAGUGCAGCAAGUCUUUAGUUCAUUUCUCUACCUCUGAUGAAUAACCUAUGCUUUAACUACAAUAGCUUCUAUAUUGAUAAAACUUGAUUGCAUUUAAAGGAAUGAAGAAUUAGUUUUCAAUAUGUAGGAAAAUAUAUAUGAUGUUGUUAUAGAUUACUAUAUAAGUGAAAAUAUACGCAUUUUUGAGCGUAAAAAGAUACAAUUGUAAAAUCAAUUGUAGAAGUUAAUUUUCAAUUAUCUAUUAAUUAACUUGAAGUAUAUUUAUUUUUCUGAAACUUAUAAAAUCAAUCCAAACCAUUGAUAUAGAUUAUUUAAGUGAUCCAAUUCAAUUUCUUAAAUUUUUUUUUGUUUUGUUUAAAUAUAGAAAAGUAGAGUGAACCCAUUUCUAUUUUUGUAGAUGAGCCACGACAGAAUAUUAAUGUCCCCUUAAUAAAAAAAGAGGUGAUGUCGACUCCUCCAUCAAAAAUGCAACAGUUUAUUUUUAUUUUUUAAAUGGCCUGCCUUUGUUCUAUUUCUUAUAUUUCAAUGCUUGACCUUAAUAAAUUAUUGUAAAUCAUUGUCUACAAAAACUGUUCAAAAAAUUGGGCAAAGUCAACCUAGAAAUAAGUCCGUCAUAAUCAAAAAUAUGAAUGAACGCAGAGCUGCAAUUCUGGAGCUAUCCAAGCAUAGAAAAUCACAAUCAGAGAGGUCUAAUGUGCUGGGCUUUAACCGCUUUAGUGUGUACCGGGGUACCGUGAGAGGCCAACCAUUAGUUUCUACAAGGUCCACAUCAUGGACAAAGAGUACAAAAAAGGCAGUGCACUAUUGAAGGCAGAAGAGGUGGCCUUGGCCGUGAAUGUUCAUUUAAUACUUGAACCUUAAUGCCUACAAAAUAACCCCUCGUCAGAUUUGGAAGUCUUUGCUUCGAUUAAAGCAUGUGACCUUAAAUUUGAUAAAAUUUUCAUAAAUUUAAUGAUACUUUUUGAAAUAAACGAUUUUUAAAUUUU